AACUAUGCGUGAGAGCAGUGUGUCCCAAACGGAGCCGAUACAGCUUUGUCGAGUGCAGACGUUCCACGUCAAGUAAAAAAAGUGGUCCUAGGUUUGGUUUAAUUCUUCUCAAAGAUGUAUCGGCCCGCGCCCAUUGCUCCUGCCAGCGCUCAUUUACACAGUGCUUGACAGCCACCUUUGUGAAAUCUACAAUGUUAUCCUCUUGUAACUGUAGCUCCUCCAUGAAUUGUCUUGCUCUUUCACCUUGCGAUUUAUAUAACCGUGUAGGUCUAGUUGCAUCGGUAAUAGUUAACUAUUAACUGCUUUCGGCGAAGAGCAAGCGGGAGAAUAUUCGCUUCCACGUUGAGAGCACAGACGGGACUCGUUGGAAAUGCCCCAAGGGAAUAUCUAAUUGCUAAAUUUUGAAUUUUGUCCAGCUUACUUAGCAACGUGGAAUUACACGAGGAAUAACUAUAGCACCCAUAGUCAAUACGUGACAGAAUCAACGCCUUAUAAACAUCAAGAAGGGAUUUAGGAUGAGCCCCCCAUUUCAGGUGUGACAGUACUCUUAACACAUUUAACGAUUUCCUACUUGAAGUUAGUAGGUUCUCCAAAUGUUUGGUCCAUCUUAAUUCCCUAUCAAAUAACAUAACAGGAUCAUAAUGAGGUCUACG